AUUUUUGUAUAGGGCAUUACGCAUAUCAGUGAGGAUUCGUCCGAGAUUGCGUUUUUGCUAGUUGAAAACUAUCAACUGACCGCUCUCGUUGGUCUUCGGAUCGGCGAGGAAUUUUUGACAAUCCAUCAUU
rnacentral:snRNA from 1 species